CGAAUAGAUACGAAGCUCUUCGAUUAAAAACAUGACGUCAUCACAUUGUCAUAAUGUUGCGUUCGCUAAAUACUCUGCAGAAUGACCAUGAACACCGUUGUACAGGGGAUAAAAAACAAAAUCAAAGAUGCUACUGAAUCUGGCUGGGCACAUCACAGCUAUCUGCUAUUAUUCAUUAUAGCAUUAUCUGGACUGUCAAUUGUGUUUAUCCAGCAAGUGGUCUUUUGUUGUAUCCUCUGGCGAAACAAAAGGAAGUACAAAAAGGCGAAGAAGCGAUAUCUCACGACACAAACGAACGAAAAGGGUCAGGCCACAAGAGAUGAAAAGCGGCCAGGAAAGUCCAAAAGGAAAUCAAGCUCAGACGACGCUUUUGUGGGAUCAUCAGCACAAGCACCGUCCCCACCCCCUCCUGCUGCAUCGUCGCCGGCCCCAGUGUCUGCGCCGCCGUCAGUCCCAGUGUCUGCGCCGUCUCCAGUCCCAAUCUCUGCACCACCACCGGUGGCAGUGUCUGCACCAGCAUCAAUGAUGGGUGUUCCUUCUUUCCCUGUUCAGCCAGAACCAGCAGUUACCAGAUCAGCUCCAGGACCUCAGCCUAUUUCUCCCGACGAUGCCAUAAAAGCCGCUGUCAUGAAGAGACGGCAAAUGAUAGACUCGAAUAAUUCACGCAAAUUCAUACAUUCAUGGCCGGAUUGUAAUUAUUCAUGCACGGAUUGCAGUAAUUCGCAUCCGGAUUGUAAUUAUUCACGGCCGGAUUGUAAUAAUUCGCGUCCGCAGUGCAAUUAUUCAAAGCCGGAUUGUAAUAAUUCGCGUCCGGAUUGCAAUUAUUCACGGCCGGAUUGUAAUAAUUCGCGUCCGGAGUGUAAUUAUUUACGGCCGGGUUGUAAUAAUUCGUGUCCGGGGUGCAAUUAUUCACGGCCGGAUUGUAAUAAUUCACGUCCGCAGUGCAGUUAUUCACUUCCGGAUUGUAAAAAUUCGCGUCCGCAGUGCAAUUAUUCACUGCCGGAUUGUAAAAAUUCGCGUCCGGAGUGUAAUUAUUCACGGCCGGAUUGUAAUAAUUUUCGCCCAAAAUGUACCAAUUCAUUUCCGGAUUUUAAAAGGUCACGCCCGGAAUAUAAUAUUUCACGGCCCGGUUGUACUAACUCAUGCCCGGAGUUUAAUCACUCAUGUUCGGAUUGUAAUUGUUCACGUUCAGACUGUGAUAGUUCACGCCUGGACUGUAACCGUCCCUGUCCUAACUGCGACUGUUCAAAUCCAGAUGUCAGUGAUUCACCUAAGAACUAUCACAAUUCAUGUUCACAGUGUAAUGACUCGCGUUCACACAGUAAUUAUUUACGUUCGGGCUAUCGUAAUGUACGCUCAAGUUGUAAUCGUUCGUAUCCCGGUUGUAAUAACUCGCGUGUGGACCGUGAUAAUUCAUGUCCGGUCUGUAACCAUACUCAGCCGGACUGUAACCAGUCUCGUCAGAACUAUAACCAUUGUCGUCAAGAUAGUAAUCAUUCUCAAAAGGAUUACAAUCAUUCUCCUCAGGACUGUAACCAUUCUCGUCAGGAUUAUAACCAUUCUCGUCAGGAUUAUAACUGUUCUUGGCAGGAAAACAACCAUGCACCUCAGGAUAGAAACCAUCCACGUCAUGACAAUAAUCAUUAUAAUCAGGAUUGUAACCAUUAUCAUCAGGAUUGUAACCAUUCUCGUAAGGACUGUAACCAUCAUCGUAAGGAUUGUAACUAUCCUCAUCAGGAUUGUAACCAUACUCGCCAGGAUGGUAAUUAUUCUUAUCAGGAUUGUAACCAUACUCGUCAGGCUUGUAACCAUCCUCAUCAGGAUUAUAACCUUUCACGUCAGGAUUGUAACCACUGUCGUCAGGAGAGUAACCAUCCUCGUCAGGAGAGUAACCAUCUUCGUCAGGAGAGUAACCAUCCUCGUCAGGAGAGUAACCAUUGUCGUCAGGAGAGUAACCAUUGUCGUCAGGAGAGUAACCAUCCUCGUCAGGAGAUUAACCAUCUUCGUCAGGAUAGUAACCAUCCUCGUCAGGAGAGUAAUCAUCUUCGUCAGGACAGUAACCAUCCUCGUCAGCAGAGUAAUCAUUGUCGUCAGGACAAUAACCAUUGUCGUCAGGAGAGUAACCAUCCUCGUCAGGAGAUUAACAGUUCGUCAGGAUAGUAACCAUCCUCGUCAGGAGAGUAAUCAUCUUCGUCAGGACAGUAACCAUCCUCGUCAGCAGAGUAAUCAUUGUCGUCAGGACAAUAACCAUUGUCGUCAGGACAGUAACCACCCUCAUCAGGACCGUAACCAUUCACGACAUGGCAGUAACCAAUCUCGUCCAGUCUCGUAUGGCCUCCCCCACUCUAUCUGCAGUUCAAUGUACCUUCAUAACAGUUGAACUUGCAGGAAAAUAACCAUAGAAACUGAAUGAAUCGUGUAAACACAAAAAGCCAUAGACGCAGAUUUGAUGCAGGUGUGGAGGUGGAUGCCCACCCCACAUCACUUUCAAAGAAGGGAAUUCCCGCGAGCUUUCAGUCUGAUAUACUAGCAUAUGUAAUUCCUAAGCAAGGGUAUUACCUGUUUUGUGGUUGCGUCAUUCACAUUCAGAUCACUUCUUCUGUUAAACGUUUCCAAGAGUGGAACUAAACAGUGCACAUUUAGCAUCUCUACGAAGGGCCACAAUGACAGGUCAACCACAUGCAUUGCAAGUUAGUGUCAGGAUUGGCAGCUGCGCUAGAUGUGCAGUAGCAAGCAGACAUAGGUCCAGAUGACAACCAGGUUCUUAUAACUCCCUUAAGACAAGCUAAGGAACCAUGCAACUAAAUGUCAAGAUGUAUCGAUGUCAAUAAGUGUUUCAUGAUUUCACUCGAGUGAUACAUGUAUCAAGGGAUGAAGUCUAUUUUAAUCGUCUUGGUGCUGACAAUUUUUAGCGUUUCAAUUACUGCCAGAUUUACUUACAUCGUAGGUGAAUGCCCAGGCGGCGUGGAGCCGGGGUCGGAGUGGUUUGAGCAGACGCCGUGUCGCAGAUGUCGCUGUGUGGAAAACGCCUAUGAGUGCGACGACUGUGAAAACGAUACUCCAUUGUUUCUACAGGACAACUGCUACCUCGUGAAAAAGAAGGCCGAUAACUCUGCAAAAUAUCCAAAGUGUUGCCAAACCCAUACCUCCAUUUGCAAAGGUGACAGCAACUUUGACCAGAUUGCCUUUGAAACCUUUAUUGGUACCUUACAACUGUGAAAAUAUCUUAAACUGGAUGAAGUUUGAUUAAUUUGUUGACCGCCAGGGUAUAUAUAUAUAUAUUCUGGAGAAUUGUGUCACAUUUGUUGAAGCAAUGAAUUAAACUCCCACAUAUUUGUUAAA